UCCCUGGUGGUCCUGUGGUUAAAGACUCUGCGCUCCGGAUGCAGGGGGCCCAGGUUCAAUCCCUGGUCAGGGAA